rnacentral:pre_miRNA from 1 species
AAUAGAUGACGCCGUUGACUUUUUCUCAUCUGUUUGACCAUUCGUCUUAUUUAAAAAAUUUACAUAAUUAUAAUUUAUUUUGUUAUGAGUUGUUUUAUCACUAAUAGUACUUUAAGUGUGAUUUAUAUCUUAUACAUUUGCAUAAAAAAUUUUGAAUAAGAUGAGUGGUCAAAUAUGUAAGAAAAAGUCAACGCCCUCAUCUAUU